rnacentral:rRNA from 1 species
AAGGCCCGGCUUGCCGGGCUGGAUUAGUGGCGAACGGGUGAGUAACACGUGAGUAACCUGCCCCUGACUUCGGGAUAACCGCGAGAAAUCGUGGCUAAUACCGGAUAUGACGCUCCUCCGCAUGGUGGGGUGUGGAAAGACUGUGUCGGUUGGGGAUGGGCUCGCGGCCUAUCAGCUUGUUGGUGGGGUGAUGGCCUACCAAGGCGACGACGGGUAGCCGGCCUGAGAGGGUGACCGGCCACACUGGGACUGAGACACGGCCCAGACUCCUACGGGAGGCAGCAGUGGGGAAUAUUGCACAAUGGGCGCAAGCCUGAUGCAGCGACGCCGCGUGAGGGAUGACGGCCUUCGGGUUGUAAACCUCUUUCAGUAGGGAAGAAGCCUUUCGGGGUGACGGUACCUGCAGAAGAAGCGCCGGCUAACUACGUGCCAGCAGCCGCGGUAAUACGUAGGGCGCAAGCGUUGUCCGGAAUUAUUGGGCGUAAAGAGCUCGUAGGCGGUUUGUCGCGUCUGCUGUGAAAACGCGAGGCUCAACCUCGCGCCUGCAGUGGGUACGGGCAGACUAGAGUGCGGUAGGGGAGACUGGAAUUCCUGGUGUAGCGGUGGAAUGCGCAGAUAUCAGGAGGAACACCGGUGGCGAAGGCGGGUCUCUGGGCCGUUACUGACGCUGAGGAGCGAAAGCAUGGGGAGCGAACAGGAUUAG